UACGUAGGGGCCAAGCGUUGUCCGGAUUUAUUGGGCGUAAAGAGCUCGUAGGCGGUUUGUCGCGUCUGCCGUGAAAGUCCGGGGCUCAACUCCGGAUCUGCGGUGGGUACGGGCAGACUAGAGUGAUGUAGGGGAGACUGGAAUUCCUGGUGUAGCGGUGAAAUGCGCAGAUAUCAGGAGGAACACCGAUGGCGAAGGCAGGUCUCUGGGCAUUAACUGACGCUGAGGAGCGAAAGCAUGGGGAGCGAACAGG
rnacentral:rRNA from 1 species